CCAGACUCCUACGGGAGGCAGCAGUGGGGAAUAUUGGGCAAUGGGCGCAAGCCUGACCCAGCAACGCCGCGUGAAGGAAGAAGGCUUUCGGGUUGUAAACUUCUUUUCUUGGGGACGAAGAAAGUGGCGGUACCCAAGGAAUAAGCCACGGCUAACUACGUGCCAGCAGCCGCGGUCAUACGUAGGGGCCAAGCAUUAUCCGGAGUGACUGGGUGUAAAGAGUUGCGUAGGUGGCAUAAUAAGUAACUAGUGAAAUCUGGUGGCUCAACCAUUCAGACUAUUAGUUAAACUGUUAAGCUCGAGACCGUUAGGGGUAACUGGAAUUUCUAGUGUAGGAGUGAAAUCCGUAGAUAUUAGAAGGAACACCGAUAGCGUAGGCAGGUUACUGGGACGGUUCUGACACUAAGGCACGAAAGCGUAGGGAGCAAACGGGAUUAGAUACCCGCGUA
rnacentral:rRNA from 1 species